rnacentral:RNase_P_RNA from 2 species
CUAGGAAGCAGGAUGAUUAAGCCGCGAAGCCGUAAGGCGAAGUGGUUAGGAAAGUCCAGACAGCAAAGAGCAGGGUGUCCGCCGUAAGGCGAGACCGGGUAACCGAGAGUAUAGAGCAACAGUGACGAACCGGGGUAAAGCUCGGAUGAAACGUGGCAAUCCUCCCCGCUGCAAUCCUAGAACCGAUCAGGCUGCUCGCCAUAUGAUCGAAGUCAGGAGCAUAGAUAAAUUAUCAUCUAAAACAGAAUCUGGCUUACUAGCUUCCUAG